rnacentral:rRNA from 1 species
CCUACGGGAGGCAGCAGUGGGGGAUAUUGCACAAUGGGGGAAACCCUGAUGCAGCGACGCCGCGUGGGUGAAGAAGCGUCUCGGCGCGUAAAGCCCUAUCAGCAGGGAAGAAAAUGACGGUACCUGACUAAGAAGCCCCGGCUAACUACGUACCAGCAGCCGCGGUAAUACGGAGGGUGCGAGCGUUAUCCGGAUUUACUGGGUUUAAAGGGUGCGCAGGCGGCGAUGCAAGCCAGGAGUUAAAAAUCGGGGCUCAACCCCGGUCGUGCGGUUGAAACUGCGUGGCUAGAGUGGGGGAGGGGCAGGCGGAAGGCGUGGUGUAGCGGUGAAAUGCGUAGAUAUCAGGAGGAACACCGGUGGCGAAGGCGGCCUGCUGGCCUGCAACUGACGUUGAGGCCCGAAAGCGUGGGGAGCGAACAGGAUUAGAUACCCCAGUAGUC